AUUGAACGCUGGCGGCAGGCCUAACACAUGCAAGUCGAACGGUAACAGGAAGAAGCUUGCUUCUUUGCUGACGAGUGGCGGACGGGUGAGUAAUGUCUGGGAAACUGCCUGAUGGAGGGGGAUAACUACUGGAAACGGUAGCUAAUACCGCAUAACGUCGCAAGACCAAAGAGGGGGACCUUCGGGCCUCUUGCCAUCGGAUGUGCCCAGAUGGGAUUAGCUAGUAGGUGGGGUAACGGCUCACCUAGGCGACGAUCCCUAGCUGGUCUGCGAGGAUGACCAGCCACACUGGAACUGAGACACGGUCCAGACUCCUACGGGAGGCAGCAGUGGGGAAUAUUGCACAAUGGGCGCAAGCCUGAUGCAGCCAUGCCGCGUGUAUGAAGAAGGCCUUCGGGUUGUAAAGUACUUUCAGCGGGGAGGAAGGGAGUAAAGUGAAUACCUUGGCUCAUUGACGUUACCCGCAGAAGAAGCGCCGGCUAACUCCGUG
rnacentral:rRNA from 1 species